AAUUCAGGGAGUCCUCGGAGAUAGGAUGUAGGUUAGUUUUAUCCUGAAAUCCUGUCUACAGGAGAUGAGAAGGGAAUAUUGGAUCGCGUACGCAAUACAUAUUUUUAACUAACUACCUCUUAGCCAAUUUGAAACAUUGCAAAAAAAAAACCCUUUCAUUAUAAUAAGUACCUAAUUAUGUUACUAAUAAAUAAAUAAAUAAAUAAAUAUUAUAGGACAUUAUUACACAAAUUGACUAAGUCCCUCAGUAAGCUUAAUAAGGCUUGUGUUGUAGGUACCUAGGCUUGUGUUGUAGGUACCUAGGCUUGUGUUGUAGGUACUAAUUAAGCCUUAUUUAUAUCUAUUGAUUUUGUAUCAUAAUGUAAAGCGAAGUAUUUGCCGUGCACGUAGGUAUGUACGAGUAUGGAAUCAUAUCGUUAAGUAUGUAUGUGUGUUCGUAUAUUACAUGUGACGAAGAUGUUGAUAUUUGUAAGAAGGAUCCCUACAAACUACUUUAAACUGAGAAGUAGGCGGUCCCAGGUUCGAAUCCUGGUAAGAAAAUAUAGAUGCUACAAUCCACUUACUGCACCACUUAGCAGAAUUGAAACUAAGAUAACUGUUUGUAGCCUUUUGGAUAGAAACCCUGGCUAAGAAAAAAGCGACUCUGGGUUCGAAUCCUUGUUAGAAAACUAAUUUAUAUGUGGAGACUUGAGAGGUUUUUAUUGGACGUACUUUCGCCACUCUUAGAAAUUAAAUAAACUUCCUAAAUUUAAUCAGUGUGAAUAAAAAAGUAUACAUAAUAUAUACUGAAUAGGCAUUCUUCGCAAACUGAAUAGAAUUGACCAGAAUAGGUUUUUUUACUGAUCAUGUAAACUUGACAAAGUUAUCUUAUUAAACACGUCCAUAUGUUGCUUAUGCAUGUAUGUAUGUAGUUGCGCUUUUGAUUUAACUCCCGUCUUCCAUUACGAUGGUACAAAAUACAAACGGUAAGCUUUACAUAAUAUGGAUACCCGUUAUCAAAAUUCUAAAUAGCCCCACAAGUGGGUUGGUCUAAUAGCAUUUUGCGAGUCGCAUUCCAAGUUACAGUGGUAUAUAGGUAUACAAGGAAACAAUACCAAAGGUAUUAGAUGUAAAAAAUAUAUAUUAGGGCAUUACCUUACAACUUCCUAAAGUGGAGAUGAGUUUGUUCUUGUCGAUCACACGGUCUCAAGUAUCAUUGUGCAGGUAAUCCAUUUCCCGCCCAGGAGCCUAAAGUAUAAUUGAGUGCUAGUCAAAGUUUAGAACUCAGAAUUAAAAAAGGUUUCUUUCUCUCGAAAAGGCGUCGCCAUUGUUUAAUAUCUAUUUCAUUUUGUUUAUUUUUUUACGAUAAUCUACACACUUCUACCAUUCUUACUAUAUAUAUUAUAAAUAUUAUAAAUGCGAUAAUAACUCAUAUCACUCGUCUUGCUUAUGGAAAAAAUCCAGAAAGCGUUUCUGCGAUUAUUAUAUAAAAAGGUUUACGGGUAUUACCCAUAUUUGUACCCAUCAAAGUUCCUGCUUGGCGUUUUAGGGUUUAAUUCCUUAGAGGUGAGACGUAACUACGGGCUAUUGACUACUGUAUGUAACGUCUUACGGUGGAACUCAGACUGGCCUGAACUGGUUGCACAGCUCGUACGCCUGUUCGUUCCAUCUGUGGCUAAGGCCCAAUUUAAUUUCCGACCACGAAUUCGUCACCUAUUAGCGGUGCCUAAAACACGCACUAUGUCCCAUGGCAAAUCACCACUUGUCCGCGCUCUACAAUAUAUCGCGCUCCUCGCAUCAGCACCGGAAUGUAAUGUAUUUGCAAGUAGUAGGAUGGAUAUGUGUAAAGAAUGUAUGAAGUUCUGUGAGACGAUGGAUAAGCGAGAAUCUUCUGUUUUUUAUUUGUUUUUCUUUCUUACAUUUGUUCUCUUUUUCCUUUCUAGACUGUAUCAUGUACCUAGUUUGUAUACAUACUGUCUAUUAAAAAUUUCACAGUGUAUUAGUUUGCUGUAAUGCUGUGUAAAUUUUUUGAAUCAAUAAAAUAAAAAAUAAACUCUGUGUAAAAUUUGGUAUGGAGAUUGUUUCAGAGCCGGGGAAGGACAUCAGGAUAGUUUCUAUGAUUCAUCAUCAUUCUACGUCUACGCGUACGAAGUCGAGGGCAGAAACUAGUACUUAAAUAAAUGUAAUAUAAAUAAUAUUACUUAAUUAAGAGGGUAACAUAAAUAAUAACUAGACUUCGAUAGGUACCUAAAACAGUUUUAUAUUAAAUCAGGUUUCGUUGGAGGAAGAGUCAGAAUUUUGAGCAACGAUGCUAUGCGAGAAGUCGCGCAAAACAACGCGAGUUGCGUAUCCUGUACUGGAGGCCAAGACCCACGGUGCUGCUGAUUUACAAAUGAAAAUUUGUGUAAUGAUAUGCAAACGAAACCAGAGGAAUUAAGUGUUCAGCGGAACUGCUCCUGAAAAAAAGAUUGCUGUCAUAAGAGAUGCGGGUAUCUACUUUCAAUAUGUGUGACCAGCCUAUAAGAUCGAACCUGAAGCAAACAAGACAAUUUACCCUUAAAUGUAUUAGUAUAAGUUAGCCUAUUUAUUAUUAAUUCUCCAUAUUGCCUAAUAAAACAACUAUAUUGUGCAUUAGAAGACAGUAUCAUCCGGACAUGGUAUAUCAGAAUGUUACGUUCUGUGGAUAUACUCUGUUCUAAUGCACAGACAUUUUUAUUGUGUGAUUAAUUCAUGGGAUCCAUAAAUUGAGACUAUGACGAUUGCCCAUGGUAUGUGUUUAGUAGUAGUAGUAAGAAAAGCAUUCCUUUUUACCAAUUUGAGAAAGGCCCUUUUUUCUUGUAUCGUCGUCAUAUAUAUUAUGUCAACCUUAAACUUGUAUGUAGUAUUAAAGUCACUUCUAGGGUACUUUUGAAGGUUUAAUUCUACUUACUUACAUAUAUGACAUGACAAUAGGGUUAGUGGAAGAAAUAAGAUGUAGACGAGUGCAUGCUAUAAUAUCGUAAAUUAAGUAUCUAUAAGUAUUACUCCUUCAGUAUUAGACCUAUAUAGAUGAGCCUUUCAGCUUUUUUUGGACAACAUUUGUAACACUUGAUGAGGUUAUUGUACAUUUUUUUUUCCUUUGCUACUAUCUACUCAGGUUGCAUUUUUUGUGAUCCAAGCUUGCCUUUUGGAGUGAAAUAUAAUGGCGAAAAGAUGAAUGUAAAUAUUGUUGUCCAUUGAUAACGUUCUCUGCAGAUUUUGACGGCGAAAUUAAUAACACUGUCAAUAACUAUAUACUUAUUUUAUUAUUCAUAUUUUAAAGGGACUCUUAUUAUAAAAGUAUGAUACAAAUUUCGGAUCGGCAAUCCAGAGGUGUGGGUUCGAGUCCCACGAUGGCCACAGUUCAUCAUCACAGUUAAUUUAUUACAUUGUGAUUGACAUCUGUAUAUACAAUUCAUAAAGUAUACCAUUUUAAUAUUUGCUGCCCACCUUAUUAAAUUUUAGAGAAGAAGAAACAAUAUACGAGAAGUUCUGUACUAAGUGCAUAAAUACCAACAUAAUGACAAUAUUGUGUAAUAAUUCUGUCUAUUUUUGUUAAGUACCUACGUUAUAAUGUAUAGUUUUUAUUUUAUUUAUUGAUUAAUUAGUCACCUUAGGAUGUCGUUAUAGGUACUUGCUAAGCUAUAGGUUUAGCUUGUAAGACUCCAGUAACAUCAUUAUUAAGAUGUAACUCGUUUGUAACUACAGGAUCUACAAUAGCGUCUUAUAAGGGUGAAGUAUUAUUUUCUUUUCCGAUAUAAGGAGCUCUAAAAGACUUUUUUACGCCUGUUUAGACCCAGAAAACGCAAAUAGCAGCUGCUUAUUGCGUGUAUGGAUGUUAAGGUUGUACGAUUCACUUUAAGCUGUAACACUAACUUCUUACAAGUAGCAUGCAUUAUAGCGACCAAUACAGCUACCUGUGGCUCGGUGAACCUCUUAAACACUUUUAUGUCAACUGUACCUGUAGGCUAAGACUACGAGUAUGUAGCUAUUCUAGAGCUGUUUUAUGUCUAUAUUAGGUUCGGCUUUUCGUCCGUCUGUCUCUCUCUCUCUCUCUCUCUCUAUCUCUAUCUCUAUCUCUCUCUCUCAGUUACCACUUCACGCUUAAACCGCUUUAGAUAAAAUUUGUUCUGGAGGUAGUUUGAGGCCCGAGGAAGAUAAUAGGAUAGUUUUUAUCAAUCAUCAUCAUCAUCCCACGCAGACGAAGUCGCAGGUAGAAGAUGGUUAACUAUAAUAAUGGAUUGGAUAACAAUGCGUACGGUUACAGAUAACUUCUUGAUACGUUUUUGGUGACCGUAAAAAAUAAUAGCAGCAUGCAGAGGCCUUGGAAAUUGCACUUAAAAUGUAAUACUUAUAUAAGCUGUAUAUAAUGUAAAUACGAGUAUAUCGAUCACUUAUAGACAGGAAGGAAACUUAUCGUAAGGAAAUGUGAUGCAGUCGGCGAGACAAUACAAAGUCGUAUAGAUAAUAAUAUAAUAUAUUAAUGUAAAAGGCUGAAAGAGAAUAGGUAAACUGAUUAUGUAAUUAAUGAUUCGACCAAGAAGAAAAUGAAUGACUGAGAUGUCUAGUAACCGAAGUCUGAAAGCGAUACUAAGGGCCAGUCGCACCAACCGCAAUUAGCGGACUGAUUAACGUCACUCACCGGUGACAUGAAAUUUCCUAAAAAAUAAAUUUAAGUAGUGAAAGCUUUAACUGUGACAAAUGGUCUGUGUACGUGAGAUAUGCAAACGGAUGACAAACUGCUAUAAUAGUACGGGCACGUCUGAAAAUAUCGAUACAAAAAAAGUGCCAAAAAUAUGUGUACACGACUUUAUUGCCCAUAUAUUAAGGUGGUGUAUAUUUCAGACGUACGUUACUGUACGUCCUAUUAUUAGAGUGGAACCAAGGGCAAGAUUUUUAAACUCUUUUUUUAUUUAGUUUACAUAGUAGCGUUACAAAAUCGUUUAUAUAAGGUAUAAUUAUGGUAAAAGGGAAUGCACUAUUAUAUUUCUAAAGUCGUCGUUACUAGUCGUGCCCACAACGUCGUGGCGCUGUGGGCACGACGAGCGACGACGCCUUUAGGUGUUAUUGGCGUUCAAAGGGUUAAAAAAAUCAGUAUGAAGUGCCUACCGCGAAAAUCAAAAUUUUGCUAUCCGUCUAUCACUCUUGCAUAAACGAGCGAUACAAUGGCGGAUAGAGAAAUUUCGAUUUUCGCGGUAGACCUCGAUGGUCUACCGUGAAAAUCGUUUUUGGUGACCAUAAACAACGCAUUAAUCAACAAAGCCGUAAUAUUAACCCCCUUAGUACAUUAACCUUACGUCUAUGGACGGUAGAGAACUCCAUACUUACGUCCGAAGUACGUAUCGGGUCUACGUUGGUCAAUUUAGAUAUACUAAUAGUCGCGUGUCACCAUGAGGUAUACGGCCGUUUCCAAUUAGCGUUUUAUACAAGCGUACGUGUACGCGCGUGUAAGCUGGUAUAGACUAAAUGUAGGUAAAAGUAACGCGCGCGUAUGCCCGUAAAAAGCAAAUGCAGGGAAAUGUAACGCGCGUAUAAGCUCGUAUCGCUGUAAGGGCCGUAUACGCUAGGCUGAAACCGCUCAUAACGAAGCGGCCGAAGUGCACAAAAAAAUCGAAACAUGCACUCUAACGCCUUGACAAUAGAGGCAUGUUCAGAUAUUUGUGAGUAUCUUGGCCGCUCCAAUAUAUAUAAUGGCGACUACAUAUUACCAAAGAGCAAAUUUUGUAGCCACAGUAAAGUUACUGCCAUCUUUCGACAUAUGAUUAAAACUUUUGGAACGCACGAAUAAAAAGUGGCAACAUCAUACCAAGCAUCGGCUAAAGGUUGUGGCGCCAUCGCUCGAAACGAUACCGCCAUGCAUUUGGCUUUUGAUCUAUUAGAUUUAUUCAUUAACAAAUUUAACAUAUAUCAGUGAAAGAAUAAUGAUCAAAGUCAAAUGGCGUUCUAAAAGUUUUAAUCAUGUGUCGGAAAAUGGCAGUAAUUUAUCGUGGUUACAAAGUUUUUUUUUUAGAAUCCACCUCUAUUUCAAAUUAUCUUUGAUACCCAUACAUUAACCCUUUGAAUGCUUUAUGUCAUAAACACAACAUCAGUCAAACACCAAAAUCCCGGGCGCAAGGGGGCCAAUGUAAACCUUAGGUAUUCGAAAGUGUGAAGGUUACUUCGACAGCGUCUGCCAGAACAGCUAUAGGUGUCCUUGGCCCUGUGGGUACGACAAGUAACGACGAUUGUAGGUAUUUUUGGCGUUCAGAAUGUUAAUCUGUACUGCAUAUCUCGUUUUCGCUCAUCCUAACCUAUCACCCAUCCUGCGUCCAUAGACGGUAGAGAAAGGACGAAAAUCUCUUAUGACAGAACUAUUGCAAAAGUAACCAGCUUUCAGCUUUAACCUUUUGAACGCCAAGAGCCACUAAAGUGGUCGUGUGCUGUCGUGCCUACCACGCCAACGACCACUAAAGAGGUCAUGGCAGACGCUGUCAAAGCAAUUUUACUGUUGACAGAUAAGGUUUAAAUUCGUUUCUCAAUAGUUGACAUAUUGGCGUGUAUGCCACAUUUUGAUGAGAGGGAGAAAGCGUUGAAAAGGUUAACCCUUUGCCAGGCUAAGGAAUAUUAUUUCACACAUGCGGCUCUUCAAACAUGUGUUCUAUUUUCGAUGAGUAAGACUGACAUUCGAUUGUCAUUUUGAACUGUCAGCCUGGUAAAGGGUUAAAUAAUAGUUCCUAAUCUCUCCGGUGGCGCUAGGUAGGCUCAUGGAUAUUACAUGAAUCAUAUACGUAUAAUAAUAUAGAGAUGAAAUGGGGAGGGGCAGCAAAUAACCCGACCAAAUUACGACGAGCCUACCUAGCGCCACUGGAGAGAUUAUUAGGAACUAUAAUUUAACCUUUUGUACCUAACCCUUACUUGAAAAAAAGUCUACUUUGACAGCGUACGUCAUGACACCUAUAGUUGCCUUGGCGCUGUGGACUAGAUAACGACGCUUUUAUUUUAUUUUCUUGGCGUUCAAAGGGUUAAAGCUGAAAGCUGGUCACUUUUGCAAUAGUUCUGCCAUAAGAGAUUGUCGUCCUUUCUGUACCGUCCAUACUUUAGAUUGACCUAUGUUAGCCCAAUUUGACAUUGCAAAUGUCAAGCAGAAUUAGCUUUAUCCGACACGACAGUGUGUACACCAACCAUACAAAUGGCGACAGCACACGAAAACUGAUUGCAUUCACACUGCGACAGAGUUAAGCGCCACCAUAGCGUUAUAUUCCUAUAAAAAUGUGGUGUUUACCUAGUGGCGCUAGCACACUUUGGAGGGGAAGGACAUUAUUGUAAUAUUUAUAACACAAACGUUAUGAUUUUUUUCUAAUGUCAAGCAAAUGUUAGUCCAAUUUAUAUACGUUAAAUAAAGUAUCUGAAUGAUA